rnacentral:rRNA from 1 species
AGUGAACGCUGGCGGUAGGCCUAACACAUGCAAGUCGAACGGCAGCACAGUAAGAGCUUGCUCUUACGGGUGGCGAGUGGCGGACGGGUGAGGAAUACAUCGGAAUCUACUUUUUCGUGGGGGAUAACGUAGGGAAACUUACGCUAAUACCGCAUACGACCUACGGGGGAAAGCAGGGGAUCUUCGGACCUUGCGCGAUUGAAUGAGCCGAUGUCGGAUUAGCUAGUUGGCGGGGGAAAGGCCCACGAAGGCGACGAUCCGUAGCUGGUCUGAGAGGAUGAUCAGCCACAUGGGAAGUGAGACACGGUCCAGACUCCUACGGGAGGCAGCAGUCGGGAAUAUUAGACAAUGGGCGCAAGCCUGAUCCAGCCAUAGCGCGUGGGUGAAGAAGGCGUUCGGGUUGUAAAGCCCUUUUGUUGGGAGAGAAAAGCAGCAGGUUAAUACCCAGCUGUACUGACGGUACCGAAAGAAUAAGCACCGGCUAACUUCGUG